ensembl:lncRNA
AUGUUUGCCCUGGAUUUAGACACCAAGGACACAAUUCUACCUGGCUCUGACGGCCAGGUGACCCCUCCAUUCAUCCCUGACCUGGACCAAGCUAAAACUGAGGAUAUUCCAAACCCAAACAUCCAGACACUUCCAGCAGGACUAAAAGAUGAUGAAAAAAUGUCACAUACAAUUGAUAAGCAGGCCGUGAUUUUAACAGGCCAAGAUCCUGGGGCAUUGAGAUUAGAUCAGCAGGAAAAGCCUCUAAGAGGCCUGGAUUGUGGGUCCACAUCAUCAUCUGGACCUGACCAGCAAGAUGAGGACAUACAAGACUUCACGGAACAAAAGCCCUGGGAAGCAAAGCCACCAAAGGCCAUCAUUUUAAUAGACCAGGACCCUAGAUCAAGACCUCUGGGCUUAGACCAGGAGGACAAAACUCAAACUGGCCUUGAUCCGCUGGCCACACUGCCACUCAGAAUGGAGCAUAAGGAUGAGGAAACAACACCAAGCUCCACGGUCCAUUUCUCAAUUCAAAUAGAUCAAGAAAAACUAGAAACAGUGUCACCAAAACCAGACAGCCUCGACACAAUUUUGACAGUCUGGGAAGAUGAGGAAAUGCCUGUAAUGGGCUUAAGCAACCAAGACAACAUUGCUCCUGGCCCUGAAAACCAGUUGCCAGUUCCAGCAAGUCCUGACCACCAGGACAAGGACAUACUGGACCACAAUGCCCAUGUUUUAUUUCUAGCAGGUCUAAACCACUGGGGAACAAUAUCACAGGGAAUAGAACAGCAGCUUAUGGAACCAAUUGAUUGGGAUUUCUGGGAAUCACCUCUUUCCCUGAGCAUAGGCACCCAAGAGAUAACACUAAGUGACUCUGCCCACUGGGGGGACACCCCUCCACCCCACCAUAAUCACCAGACUGCAUAUAGACCAGAUUCUAAUACUCUAACCUCUCCUCAAAGAGAAAAAUGUUGGAAAACAAUACUACAGGGAAGUGACCAUAAGGCUACAACAUCGUCAGAUCAAGAUCAUAGGGCAAGCAUACCUCCUUUGACCUCAGGCCCACAGGAUAAAAUUCUACCUCCCUCUGACCCCCAGACCACACUCCAAACCAACCUUGAACACUGGGAUGAGAUUAUAGCAGACCCCAUUAGCCAUGUGUCUCUUCAAAUGGAACAAGAGCCCUGGGAAAUGGCACCUCUUAGAACUGACCACCAGGACACAACUCUGUCAAACCAAGGUUGCACAAGGCCUCCAGUGAACUUAGACUGGAAGGGCAAUACCUUAUCUGGCAUCAACCACCAAAGCAUAUCUCCCACCAGCCCUGAUAAACAGCCUGAAGACUCCACAGGUCCUUUUGCCCAGGUCUUGCUUCAAACUGAACAGCAAGAUCCAGAAACAAUGGCAACCCACCAGGGCAUAGCCCCAGCGGUCCAGAAUCAUCAAUCCGCCCAAUCAUCAGACUCCCAGUACUCAAUCCCACUUGACCCUACACCUGAAGCCACACUUCCACCCAGCCCCAACAAACAGAAUGAAGAUACACAAGUCCUCAUUAUCCAUCCCUCACUUCCAACUGAACCAGAGUUCGGGUGA